rnacentral:lncRNA from 1 species
CGCGUGCGUGGGGCGGGGCCGCGGCGGGACAAAUGCAGAGCGCACGCGCUUGGCUGCCUGGCGACUGCACAAGCAGGGAUGGCGUCGCUUCAGCGUUCUCGGGUGCUACGCUGCUGCAGCUGCCGCCUCUUCCAGGCGCACCAGGUAAAAAAGAGUGUCAAGUGGACAUGCAAAGCUUGUGGAGAGAAGCAGUCCUUUUUGCGGGCUUAUGGUGAAGGCUCUGGUGCUGACUGUAGACGCCAUGUCCAAAAGUUAAAUCUACUACAGGGACAAGUUUCAGAGCUGCCACUCAGGAAAAAUCGCAGCCCUCAGAGAGUCGCUGGCUGAAGUAUCUAGAAAAGGACUCCCAAGAACUGGAGCUGGAAGGAACAGGAGUGUGUUUCAGCAAACAGCCUUCAUCCAAAAUGGAGGAGCCAGGCCCCCACUUCAGUCAAGACCUGCCUAGAAAAAGGAAGUGGAGCGGGAGCACCGUCCAGCCUCCGUGCAGCCGUGGCGUCCAGGACUCGGGUGGCUCUGAGGUCGCCUGGGGACCCCAGAAGGUCAGUGACAGAGAACAGUUUCUCUCUGGUCCCAGUGACCACCGAGUGUGUGUGGGAUAAUUCUGUCUUCUGUCACAGUUGACGAAGUGUGCGAUUCCUACCCGCAGAAAGCCCAUCUUCCCACCCGGGUUUCUUGUCUUUUCUGUCUGAAGCCAACUCCUUCCUCGGGUCUGUACCCCCUUUUCCCUCCCAUGCCUCUCGUCUCCCAUGAGGGUAACUCAGGACCAAAGAGCAUUGUGACCCUUGGAGCAACGGAGGUUGGCCCGCAAGUCACCCUGACGAUGGGUCAGGGCCAUCGUCUCAUUCUGCGUGGAGCAUGGGGACCUUUCUCCGGGCAGGAGUCGUCAGCGGGCCGCCCUGAAUCCUGGGAGAUGCUUCCCUCCACACACGCGUUUGCCCUGCUGUGGACUCUUGUAUGUGAGGCACUCUUCACUUAGGGUGUUGUCUUGUUCUUUUUUGUUUUCUGAGACAAGGUCUCACUCUGUCUACCCAGGCUGGAGUGCAGUGGCACAGUCAUAGCCUACUGAAGCCUCAACCUCCCAGGCUCAAGUGAUCCUCCUGCCUCAGCCGCCAAGUAGCUGGGACCACAGAUGCACACCACCACACUGGCUAAUCUUUAAAAAAUAUUUUGUAGAGGCCAGGCGCAGUGGCUCACACCUGUAAUCUCAGCACUUUGGGAGGCCCAGGUGGGUGGAUCACUUGAGGUCAGGAGUCUGAGACCAGCCUGGCCAACAUGGUGAAACCCCAUCUCUACUAAAAAUAAUUAGCUGGGCGUGGUUGUGCACGCCUAUAAUCCCAGCUACUCGA